ensembl:lncRNA
UGGUGAUCAUGAAACAUUAAACUGUUGUUAGUUUUCUCUGUGUUUUUCCUGUGAUGUGUGAGAAUUGUGGAGGAGACGGAGGAGAUGGAAUGCGUCUGAAAUCCGAUCCUCCAAGAGGACAGAUGAGAGGACAGCUAAUGGUGCUCUACACGAGCUGAAGCUUUGCAGAUGACAACAUGUGUGGCUCUGGUGUCCGACGUCAUCAAGGAACAAUGUUUUUGACAUUGUGUGAUCAAAGCUGUGAUCAACUGGGAAUUCCAGAUUUCCCAAGUUGUGUUCAGGAGUUGCUGAGUUGACGGGUGCAAGGCCAGCAGCUCUACAAUAGCGGUUAUGAAUGUGGAGAUGCAAGUGGUGUCCUGAAACUCUACAAAGUAUCAAUUACUAAAGCACUAGUGAAUAGAAGAUGAAUGCAACCCUAAGAGUCAUACUUGGAGUAGACAACGCAUUCCUCCCCUGAAUCGACGUCUUCAGGGUCAUCCCUUAGGUCUCAGCUAUGGCCCCAAACCUUCCCGAUACCUCAGUUCAGUUAUGGGGAAGAGGUUCAAGCAGGAGAAGGCCAUUCAUGUCUUUCAUAACAGCGGCACUUUUCUGAAUCCAAGCACCAAACUCAAGUCUGAUAUCUUAGAGGGUUUGGCAUCAGAAAUGAUCAAAUACAAAAUAUAUCCCUUGGAUGAAGACUUUGAUCAUGUGGCUCUGGCUCUAAUAA